GUUACAAUCAAAAACCCUACAUCCAGCGUUUCCUUUCAUCCUUUAUCCUCCCAAUUGAAAUGAAAGAUCUCAUAUCUCUACCACCACAUUAAUGCCGCCACCAUGGUGAUGAAGAUGAUGAAUACGAUUUUGAGGAUUGCAAUUAUGGUGAUGAAGAUGAUACGGUCCGUUCGUUUUUAUUUGAUUUUUAUGUUGUUAAUGAAUCUACUUAUGUACAUGAUUGAAUAGAAUUUAGGGAUUUGUACAAGAAGCUCAGAAUCUAACAUUUGGAUGCUACAAGAAGCUUGAAAUCGAUGAGGACUAAAAGAUGGUUUUGUUAUUCCUCUGGAGACGAGAACCUAUCUGCCAAAGAUAUGAUUUGUUGAUCUACCAAUUACCAUACUCAUGGAUUUUGAUACAUUCGUUUUCAUCUCAAUCUCUCUCUCUUCCAAAUCUUAAUCUUUGUUCGAUUGAUAGAGACGCUGAAAGCUGUAAAAACCGAUCAUCCACCAGUGCCAUCUUUAUACUCCCUCUCAUAUACAGCAUGGCUCUGUCGAAUCAGCAAACUGUUGAUUACCUGAGUUUCAAGCUUGUAAUUGUCGGUGAUGGUGGAACUGG